rnacentral:tRNA from 1 species
GGAGAGAUGGCCGAGUGGCUUAAGGCGCACGCUUGGAAAGCGUGUUAUGGGUUAAACCAUACGUGAGUUCGAAUCUCACUCUCUCCGCCA